CAGAGUGUGACGACGAGCAGCCAUUGGUGCAGCUAUGCUGACGCUGGUAGCCCUCGCCGUGGUUCUGGUCGGCGCCGUGGACGGGUCCACACCCACGGCGCUCUGCGGCACACAGCCGUGUCCUGAGCCGUUCGAGUGCCGUGAAGAGGGAGACGUGUCGGUCUGUGUGCGCGUGCCAGCCCCCACCUGCGCUGACACCAGCUGCCCGGCCGGACAAGAGUGUAUUCUGCAACAGGCGUUUUGUGACUCCUUACCCUGCGACCCGAAACCUACUUGCGUCAAUAGAAAUCCCUGCGGAACCUGCUUUGCUCCGCAGGAGUUCUGCCAGCUGCUGCCAUGGCCGAUCUGCCGUCUUGUCGUAACGAUAACAUGCGCCAACAAGAUCUGCCCGCCCGGAAAGAAAUGCAAGGAGCAAGUCGUUAACUGCUUCAGAGCCCCGUGUCCCCCGAUCCCAGAGUGUGUGUAAAUGAUUCUGUAUGUCUAAUGGCAUCAUAUGAGAUGAUGGCUACCCGAAACACGAUCGCGCAUAGAUAAAACACGUGUAAGGUCUCGCUUGGGUACGUAUGCUGGGGUCACAGCAUUAAUAUUAUUGUUGCGGAUCAUCUUGGCCUUCUAAGACACCUUAGCCUUCCAUCUUAUCGGUUCAUAAUUUACGAUGCGAUGGUCAAAAUCGAUUUUGCGUGUGGUUUUGAAACGUUUCAUUUUGUUUCACUAGAAAGCUUUUUACAUCAGAGACAUCUGGUACAAAAUGCAAAUAACUAUGCAAUGGUAAGGUGAUCACCAAACAUGCAUAAUACGUACGUUUCCAGAUAAGUAUUUGAAAACUUGGUUGCGAUAAUGCUAAACCGGUGCUGAUCACGACGGAAACUAGCUUUUAAGCGUAAUGAAGGUCAUGGAGUAGAACGUUUUGUUCGGUUUCUUGCUUAGUUCGAGCAUUGCCACAGUUCUUUAUCAACAUCAGGAUAAUUGUGAGCCUCGUGUAUUUUUGUUAUGCUCAAAUGACGCCGUGCUUAAUAGGUGUAAUAAUCCUAAAGGAGUUGUCAUGCCAUAUGCUCUCGUUACUGGUGAACAAUUACAGUUUAUAUUGGGGUGUUCCACGCUUCAGGCGUUCUAAAACCCAAAGGAGUAGUUCCGCUGCUUCAAUACAGGAUGGUCAUGAAAAGAAUAGUCAUCUGAUUAUUUCACGAAAUAUCCAGAAAAUAAGCAGCAUUUCUUAAAUGAAUGAAUCCGAAACUUUGAAUGGAUGGCUUCUGAGAUCAGCGCUCACGUUAAGAAGUGCUUGUGGUGUGAGCACUGACACUUCACACUCGCUCGCGCAACUGCAGGUCGACGACAGAAUUUGGUAGCAGAAGUUUAGCUUACCACAUCACUCGGCACGGUCCGUCCUGCCCUCUAACGUCAACUGACCUUUAGCGCGUCCGCUGCCGUCGGCCGCGAAUCACACCUGUUGAAUGCAAACAGCGAGCUGUUGU